CUUAGUAGACUUCUUCGGAAAGACACUAAGCGGAUUAGUGGCGAACGGGUGAGUAACGCGUGAGUAACCUGCCUUACACAAGGGGAUAGCCUUUGGAAACGAAGAAUAAUACCCUAUAAAACUAUAAAAGCACAUGCAAUUAUGGUCAAAGUGAUAGCGGUGUAAGAUGGACUUGCGUCUGAUUAGCUAGUUGGUGAGAUAAAAGCUCACCAAGGCAACGAUCAGUAGCCGGCUUGAGAGAGUGUACGGCCACAUUGGGACUGAGACACGGCCCAGACUCCUACGGGAGGCAGCAGUGGGGAAUUUUGCACAAUGGGGGAAACCCUGAUGCAGCGACGCCGCGUGAUUUAGAAGGCCUUCGGGUUGUAAAAAUCUUUUGUAUAGGAAGAAAAUGACAGUACUAUACGAAUAAGGUCCGGCUAAUUACGUGCCAGCAGCCGCGGUAAUACGUAAGGACCGAGCGUUGUCCGGAAUCAUUGGGCGUAAAGGGUACGUAGGCGGCUAGAAAAGUUAGAAGUCAAAGGCUAUAGCUCAACUAUAGUAAGCUUCUAAAACUAUUUAGCUUGAGAAAUGGAAGGGAAAGUGGAAUUCCUAGUGUAGCGGUGGAAUGCGCAGAUAUUAGGAAGAAUACCGGUGGCGAAGGCGACUUUCUGGCCAU
rnacentral:rRNA from 2 species